rnacentral:rRNA from 1 species
GACGAAGGGGGCUAGCGUUGUUCGGAAUUACUGGGCGUAAAGCGCGUGUAGGCGGUUGUCCAAGUUGGCUGUGAAAGCCUUGAGCUUAACUCAAGAAAUGCAUUCAGGACUGGAUGACUAGAGGACCGGAGAGGAUAGUGGAAUUCCCAGUGUAGUGGUGAAAUACGUAGAGAUUGGGAAGAACACCAGUGGCGAAGGCGGCUAUCUGGACGGUUUCUGACGCUAAGACGCGAAAGCGUGGGGAGCAAACAGG